ensembl:lncRNA
CCGUGUGUAUCUUUAUUUUUAGCUUAAGCGAAAGACAUGAAGCGUUAAAGCUGAGCUGGGGUUAUUUUGACAUCAUCUGAUUCCAUCAUAGAAGGUGCUGUAGGAGAUCGUCGCCCUGAAAAACUUCCAACAAAAUGCUGUUCCUUUCUUACUGACUAACAGGAGUUGCUCUCUUCUAACAAAAAGUGUUUGUUCAUAAUGUAAGUAUGUCUUUUUAAAUGUGUCCACUUAAAUUAGUUUUUAACAGAGCAAAGUAUAUGAUAUAAUGUAUCUGCUUAUGGCUAAUGGUUGGUUGAUGUGAUCUAGCCUUUUUAAUACUUUUUUUGGUGCCUUUUAUCCAACAAGGUAUUUUUUAGGUGACAGUGUAAGAGUGGAUUUACACUUGAAAGUAGACUAUUUUUUCUGGAGUACUUCUGGGUUUACCAGUUAGCAGUGUCCUUUUACCAGCACAACUACCAUGUGGAAGGAUGUCUCAUCCCAAACUAAAUAUCCCCAUUCCUGUCGCAGUAUAAGGUCUGAAAGGUUUUUAUGGGUGGUGAGAUGUUCCAGUGCUUGGAUCAAUGUGUUUCAUUUCAUGUUGGGAAGGAGUUGGAUUUUUUUGUUGUUCGAUUGGUUGGGGGUUUUUUUUAAGUUACUCUAAUUCUAAGUCAGCACAGCAGAUCCAGGUGAGGUGUAUCUAUGUAUAUAAACAUGUAUAAUGCUGUCUAUGUGCAGAGCAAAUGAAAUCAUCCCAGGGCAGCAAAAGACCUGGAGGAGCUGCCACAGAGAGCAGUAAGGAAAGGGGGAAGCUUUGCCUGAGGAGUUGUUCAAACUCGAUUGAUACCAGAAGUGCGAUGAAAACCGUGAUACCCACGUGGACCGAGUGCAGCUGCUUUUAGCAAAGAAACCAACUUCCAGGAAAGAAACUGGUAUGUUGGGGAUUUACUUCAGCAACAGUGCUGCGUCAGCUGGAGCUCACCUUAGCCUGAGGUUUAGCAAGAUUUCUGCUAUGCUGUGAAUGACAGGGAAGAGGAAAAUCUCUCUCCUGUGUUUACCAGGCGAGGCUGAAGCAGCAUGUGCUGGAACGGCGUGAUCUCACGAUGCUAAAGGUUGCGAAGCCUCGGGUGAGGUCCCAAACACCACGUAGCCCUGCGGGGAGCUUUGCUGCUGGCUUCGGUAUCACCAGGUUUUCACCCCUUGGCCAGAGAACUGAAGCGUGCGUUUAAUUUCCUCCUGUGCUCAGGUCUGUCCCUGUUCAGCAGAGCGCUAAAUCCUCUGCCUGAGCACUCGCGGUCCUCUGCCAGGGCAGUGUGAGGGUUGUCGUGAGCUGCGUUUCGGGGAUUGUAUGAGCCAGGUUAAAAAAUUAAAAAAAAAAAAAAAAAAAAAAGAGUAAACAUAAAAGCAUCCUGGGAUUUCUGGACUGAGAUCAGAUGUGAUGUGAUUUUAUUUGGUUGAUGAUAUCCUGCCAGUAACCCAAGUGGACAAACCUGUGUAAUGAUGCUUUUCCUUCACUUCAGACCUGCUGUCCCCAGCCAUAGGAUUCCUUUCUAAAAGCCUGUUAAAAAUAACUCUGCUCUCUGGGAUACUUAACUUGCUCUGUUUUCAGUUAGCCACUGCUGAACCUUAUAAAAGAGAAAGGCUUUUAACUUACAGCCUGGUGUGCAUCCAGAGUUCAGAAAUCUCCGCAGAAGAUUAAGCAAGUCAGAGAAAUUAACUUUGAUCCCUUUCUGCCAGCAUAGGAUUAUUCCGCAUCAUACUGGUUUUGAAGUUCAUGUCUUAAUCCAGUUUUACACAUCUCAGGGGACUGGGCUUCUUAUGACUUGUUCCUCAAAACAAGUUGUGUUGUGUAGCCUCUGAUUUAGAGGUACUUACUCGAUACCGAGAUUCAAUUUGCAUUUCCAUUACUGCAUCCCAUUUCAUCCUGUGCCAUAUACAUAAUGUCGCUACUUCGUGGUAUAUGGCUUUCAAAGGCAUAUGGAUCAUUAUCAUGCUCGUGCUAUUUUAUAUGCUCACUACACACUUAGUCAAACUAUAUACUUGAAACAAACUGUAUACUUGAACCGCGUUCUCGCAAACAGCCGAGCGGGACUUGUAUGUAGAUCUUCGAACUCUUGAACAAAUUUGCAUACAAAAGGCCUUGUAGUGUCCAGCGUGGAUCGUAGUGCACGAAAACAACUGGUGCGAAACAAGAUUAAAAGAGCAGAAAUAUUGCUAACCAAGGCAAAGAGGAGGGUCACGGUACUGUUUUCCAGCAAAGUGGAAAGUUUCGAUGGUCAGUCCUGAGCUUUGUUUGUUUUGUUUUGUUUUUAAAGCACUGUGUUUGAUGCGUGAUGAGUUUGUAAAACCGUAACACUUCUUUCUAAUAAAGGUGUAUUUGCAGGC